rnacentral:lncRNA from 1 species
UUAAAAAUAAUAAUAUUAAAAUUAAAGUCAAAAUUAGCCGACGAAGUCUAAACGAAAGUUGUAGAGCAUAAUUCUAGCUUCGCGUGCAUAUAAAGAACGUCAAAAACGGAGCUCGUAUGCGAAAGUUAUGGAUUUUAGAAGUUUUUUCACAUUUUUCGAGAAAAUUCGUAUGAAUAGUGAAAUGCCACGUCACCCUCGUAUGCGAGGCUUCCACGUGUCGGACAGAUGUUCGCUUCUGAUUGGACCGCAGCCUUGCGUGUUGCCUUCUGAUUGGACCAAGCCGAGGACCACUUAGCCCGGAACACCUUCGCAUGUGACACCCCCUUGAUCACCCUCGCAUGCGAGACCCACGUGCGAGCCACCUGCUGUCCGAGCCGAAGACCGAGCCGAAGACCCAGCCGAUGACGCGCCUGAAGCUGAUGACUCCUCGCAUCCGAGCCUCGCUGGAGCCCUGCGAAGCUGCCAUCUGGUCUGAGCCUCGCAGCCACCUGUCUCCUUCCCUUCGCUUCGGAUCCGAAGCUCAGCCCUAUAUAAGGGGUGCGAGCCCUCUCGGCUAGUUUUAGAAAUUUGGCAUUUUCACUCCCUCUUUCAAUAUUUUUACGAUCCCGACAUCCCGCAAAGCCCCAAUACUGAUUCUAAAGCCCAAAACAAGCCCCGACNAGUAUUGUCCUCUAGACAUGAGGAGGAGAUUGGAGAAGGAAUUCCUCGAGCUUAAACAAGGAGGAAUGACUGUGAAUGAGUAUGAAACUCAGUUUAAUCAAAGAGCAAGGUUUGCUACAAAGUAUAUUCCAACUGAAGACGAGAAAAUUCAGUUAUUCAUGGAGGGACUACGACACGAAAUCCACGAUUUCGUUGCCAAUCGAGAAGUUCUGUCAUUCGAUAAAGCCGUUGAAUAUGCUCGAAGACGUGAGCAUGACUUAGAAAUACGUGGUGCCACUGUUACUGCUCCGAAGCAUCCACGUACUGAAAGAACUGUUCCUUCUUUUCUACCAGCUCAAUCCGUUCGGACUGAGCCUGGUAAUCAAGUUCAAACUCAAAGUGUCUCUCGUGGACGCGGUAGAUCACAAUAUUUUUCUAUGCAAUCGCCUUCAUGUCGUAUUUGUGGAAGGAAUCAUCCGGGCCAAUGCAAAAUAGACAAGGAAUCCAUUGUCUGUUAUGGAUGCGGAGAAAAGGGUCAUAUAAAGCCAGCUUGCCCAAGAAAGGAUGUUACUUGCUAUGCAUGUGGUAUUACUGGCCACAAGAAGCGUUUUUGCCCUACUCUUACUAGUCAGAUGACGGGAAGUCAAGCUUCUGUUCAACAACCGGCGAGAAGCCAAGUCCCUGUUCAACAAUCAAAGGGUACUCCAACUAAAAAGGAGGAGGUGCCGAAAGCUAGGGGUCGUGCAUUCCAGAUUACCUCAGAGGAGGCACGCGAGGACCCGAAUGUUGUGACGGGUACAUUUCUUGUCAACUCUAGACCUGCUCACAUCUUAUUUGAUUCUGGUGCCUCAGAUUCUUUUGUGUCUUACGAAUUUGCGCAUUCCUUUCAAAUUGCUUGCUUUGUACUCGCGCAACCAUUUCACGUAGAUACUGCGGGAAGUAUAUCAUUACUUGCUGAUAAAGUCUAUAGGGAUUGUGUUAUAGAAAUUGAAGGCUAUACUUUUCUCGCUAACCUGAUCCCUAUCUCCUUGCCCAACUUUGAUAUUAUUCUCGGCAUGGAUUGGUUAUCAAAGAACCACGCAGAACUCUUGUGCUAUGAAAAGAUAGUACGCAUUCCUAUUGAAGGGGAGAAUCCUAUCUAUGUCAACGGUGAACAAAGCCUCUUAAAAAUAAUCUCUUUCCUUAAAGCUCGUAAAUUCAUAUCGAAAGGAUGUUCUAUCUAUCUGGCCUACACAGUUGACAUCUCAAAAGAGGAGAAGAAAACUGUAAAUGAUGUUGUCGUUGUUAACAAAUAUCCUGACGUUUUCCCCGAUGACUUUCCUGGCCUUCCUCCGGAUAGGCAAGUAGAAUUCCGAAUUGACCUUGUGCAUGGUGCUGCUCCAAUUGCAAAGACUCCUUAUCGUCUUGCGCCAGCUGAGAUGAAAGAAAUGAUGAUCCAACUGCAAGAACUACUUGACAAGGGUUUCAUUCGACCGAGUACCUCUCCCUGGGGUGCUCCGGUACUAUUUGUCAAGAAGAAAGAUGGAUCGAUGCGGAUGUGCAUUGAUUAUCGUGAGCUGAAUAAGGUGACUAUCAAGAACAAGUACCCACUACCUCGCAUCGACGAUUUGUUCGAUCAACUUCAGGGUGUUAGCUAUUUCUCAAAAAUUGAUUUAAGAUCUGGCUAUCAUCAGUUGAAAGUUCACGAGCAAGAUGUACCGAAGACUGCUUUUCGUACUCGAUAUGGGCAUUAUGAAUUCCUUGUUAUGCCGUUUGGUUUAACAAACGCUCCGGCUGUAUUCAUGGAUAUGAUGAAUCGGGUAUGCCGCCCAAUGCUCGAUAAAUCAGUCAUCGUAUUCAUUGAUGAUAUUCUAAUCUAUUCCAAGUCUGAAGCUGAUCAUGCCAUUCAUAUUCGUGCGGUAUUGGAACUUCUUCGAAAGGAGAAACUAUAUGCUAAAUUCUCGAAAUGUGAAUUUUGGCUUCGCCAAGUUCAAUUUCUCGGCCAUGUUAUUUCUAGUGAUGGUGUAUCCGUAGAUCCUAUCAAAAUCGAAGCCAUUCAAAAUUGGGAAGUGCCCCGUAAUGCUUCCGAAAUUCGUAGUUUCUUAGGUCUCGCGGGAUAUUACCGGAGAUUCAUUAAAGACUUUUCUCGUAUAGCCGUACCUCUCACGAGUCUUACACGGAAAGAAGUGAAGUUCGAAUGGGGUGAAACCCAAGAAAGAGCUUUCUCAACUCUAAAAGAUCUUUUGACUCAUGCUCCAAUCUUAUCACUCCCAGAAGGUGAUGAUGAUUUCUCCGUAUAUAGCGAUGCUUCAAGAUUGGGACUCGGUUGUGUGUUGAUGCAACGUGGCAAAGUGAUAGCCUAUGCCUCAAGACAACUGAAAGAUUAUGAAAAGAAUUAUCCCACUCAUGAUCUCGAACUCGCUGCAGUGGUAUUUGCCCUAAAACUUUGGAGGCAUUAUCUUUUUGGUACAAAGUGCCAAUUAUUUACCGACCACAAAAGUCUCAAGUACAUAUUCAGUCAGCAAACUUUGAAUAUGAGACAACAACGAGCCAUGGAGCUGAUCAAAGAUUAUGAUUGUGAAAUCCUAUAUCAUCCUGGAAAAGCUAACGUGGUUGCUGAUGCACUUAGCAGAAAAGUUUAUCGCAAUAGUAUGUGUUAUGCCAUUACUCAUACUACAGUAAAAUUCACUAUUUUAGAUGAAUUAGAGAAAUGGCAAGAAGAGGCCCUAAAGCCAGAAAAUGUGAAGAAAGAAGGGAUGAUACAUUAUAAUGAUGCUCUACUUGAUGAUCCGCGAGGAUUAAAAGUAUUCAAGAAUCGGCUGUGGAUUCCAAAGAUCGGUGGAUUGAGACAGAAGAUUUUAGAUGAAGCCCAUAAAUCUAAACUGUCAAUCCAUCCUGGUACAAGUAAAAUGUACUAUGAUGUAAGAGCUGAUUAUUGGUGGCCUGGAUUAAAGAAAGACAUUGGAAGAUAUGUACAAGAAUGCUUAGUAUGCUUACAAGUCAAAGCAGAGCACCAAAAGCCUUAUGGAACCCCAGAAAGUCUUAGUGUUCCUGUAUGGAAAUGGGAGGAAUUGUCCAUGGAUUUCAUUACCAAAUUGCCAAAGACUGCUAGACAGCAUGAUAGCAUUUGGGUAAUUGUCGACCGCCUGACUAAAAGCGCUCAUUUUCUUGCCAUGCGUGAAACGGCCCCAAUGGAGAAAUACGCACAAGUAUACUUGGAUGAAAUUGUGGCAAGACAUGGUGUGCCACUAAAGAUCAUCUCCGAUCGUGAUACUCGCUUCACUUCUCACUUUUGGGCGAGUAUGCAACGUGAAUUAGGAUCUCGAGUUGCUCUCAGCACAGCAUAUCAUCCCCAGACAGAUGGUCAAACGGAGAGAACAAUCCAAACAGUAGAAGAUAUGCUUCGUGCAUGUGUCUUGGAGUUCGGUGGUAACUGGGAUAAAUACUUACCUCUUGUCGAAUUCUCGUAUAAUAAUAGUUACCACGCUUCAAUCAAAAUGCCACCAUACGAAGCAUUAUAUGGUCGCAAGUGUCGUACUCCAUUAUGUUGGCGAGACAUAGGACAGAAGAUCCUUGGAGGCCCUGAAAUGAUUCAAGACACCACCGACAAAAUUCAAAUCGUACGAGAAAGAAUGAAAGCGGCCCAGGAUCGACAGAAGUCCUAUACAGAAAAGAGAAGACGACCCAUAGAAUUCCAAGUGGGUGAUUUCGUGAUGCUGAAGGUAUCUCCAUGGAAAGGCCUUAUGAGAUUCGGGAAGAAAGGAAAGUUAAGUCCUAGAUUUGUUGGUCCUUUCAAAAUCAUCCAGAGAAUUGGAAAGCAAGCAUACCGCUUAGAAUUACCAGAAGAUUUGGCAGGUAUUCAUGAUGUGUUUCAUGUGAGCUAUCUGCGCAAAUGCUUGAGCAUCAAUGAUGAGACAGUUCCAUUAUCUGAAGUGAAAUUGGAUAAUAAGUUAAGAUAUGUAGAAGAGCCGGAAGAGAUCGUGAAUGAAAGAACAACUAAUCUACGUAAUAAAGAAGUGGAGUUGGUGCUUGUCAAGUGGAAACACCAUCGAGGCCCAAAUUAUACUUGGGAAAAUAAGAAUGAGAUAAGAGCAAAAUAUCCCCAUUUAUUUUAAUCGAUGUAAUUUCGGGGACGAAAUCCUCAAAAGGAGGAGGUAUUUGUAACAUACACGUUUUGAAAUCGUGUUUUAAGUAAAUAAUAUUAUGAAAUAUUAUGUGAAUUUGAAUGUUGAGUUCUAACAGAUAGUUUUUACUAGAAUUGAAGUAAAACUAUGCUUAGAAUCAUUCAAAAAGUAUUGGAAGUCUUAUGAGAUUCCAAUUAAAAGCCAAAUAGUGAAAUAUAGCGAAAAUAUAAAAUCUGGAAUAAGUAAAAUUUUAUUAUUGAAAGUUAUAGAUAAUCUCGUUAGAAACAUUUAGGCGAAAACCUCAUCGAAAUCCGAGUUAUAACGAAGAAGUUAUGACCAAACGAAGAUCCGUGAUAAAUCCGGAAAAUACCUUGUCGCGUAAAAAUUUAGUUUUCGAUAAACUAAUUUUUAGCCUUAGUGAUGUAAAUGAAAGUUGUAGAACUCGUGAAAAUAAUCAACUUUCAUAUAAAGACCGUUUGAAUCUGACUUCGUAUGAGGAAGUUAUGAUUUUUCGAAGUUUCAGCUUAGCAGUAGACAGCUAAAAACUCGAAUUUUAGAUCGAGUGAUUUUUAGCCGACACAACCUAAACGAGGAUUGAAGGUCUCGUCAUUAGUAGUGCAACGGUAAAAAGUCUGACGAAAACGGACGUCGGAUGAAGAAGUUAUGAAUUUUUAACGGAUUUUCCUGUCCCGGUCUGUUAAAAAUAAUAAUAUUAAAAUUAAAGUCAAAAUUAGCCGACGAAGUCUAAACGAAAGUUGUAGAGCAUAAUUUUAGCUUCGCGUGCAUAUAAAGAACGUCAAAAACGGAGCUCGUAUGCGAAAGUUAUGGAUUUUAGAAGUUUUUGCACAUUUUUCGAGAAAAUUCGUAUGAAUAGUGAAAUGCCACGUCACCCUCGUAUGCGAGGCUUCCACGUGUCGGACAGAUGUUCGCUUCUGAUUGGACCGCAGCCUUGCGUGUUGCCUUCUGAUUGGACCAAGCCGAGGACCACUUAGCCCGGAACACCUUCGCAUGUGACACCCCCUUGAUCACCCUCGCAUGCGAGACCCACGUGCGAGCCACCUGCUGUCCGAGCCGAAGACCCAGCCGAUGACGCGCCUGAAGCUGAUGACUCCUCGCAUCCGAGCCUCGCUGGAGCCCUGCGAAGCUGCCAUCUGGUCCGAACCUCGCAGCCGCCUGUCUCCUUCCCUUCGCUUCGGAUCCGAAGCUCAGCCCUAUAUAAGGGGUGCGAGCCCUCUCGGCUAGUUUUAGAAAUUUGGCAUUUUCACCCCCUCUUUCAAUAUUUUUACGAUCCCGACAUCCCCCAAAGCCCCG